rnacentral:ncRNA from 7 species
GCCCAUCUAACCCACUUGGUAGAGCACAAGGUUUCUAACCUUAUGCUUGUGGGUUCAAACCCCAUAGUUUACA